rnacentral:lncRNA from 1 species
AGAGGACAGGCCAUUAGAGACAAGUGAUUUUAAGUAAUGUCUAAAGAUAAAAAGUAAGGGGUUGCUGCAUAUACUUAAAAAGCGAAAGAAGCAGUUCAGAACAUAGUCCUUUUUGUUUUUUUAACAACUUAAAUCUUGUUCACAGAACCCAAAACAUCCCUGAGAUUUGGUAUGGUUGGAUACGGCAACAAGAGCAAGAGGUAGAAUACCACUCAGAGUUUCAUGCAAGCAAGGAGCAACUGAGCCAUCAUCAUACAGAGGCACUGCACUGUGAUGAUAUACAGUAUAAAAAAAGACACUACACACUGGAGAAGAUUUCAUAUCCAUGUGCAUAGAGAGGACUCAAAACUGGAAACUAACAAGCAUUUCCAUCUAAGAUUACGAUUAAAUGGGAAAUGAUUAGUACUAUUGUUGCAAUGAAAAUGAGAGAGAAAUGCCUGGGAUGGAUGGCAUUUAAAGUAGGAUUUCUGAUCAAAAGAGUGAUUAACCCUUGCAGAACAAGUGAAAGAAAAAGAGGUAAAGAAUAAGAAAAGAGGUCCAGUGAGGGAGUAAACCUCAGGGGCAGAUAGAAAUGAAUGAUAAAUGUUAAUAGGACAAUAAACAGACAUGUUUGUGAAAUUGGCUGAGCCAGGCUGGAAUCUACAAUGCCAGG